GAUGAACGCUAGCGGCAGGCUUAAUACAUGCAAGUCGUGGGGCAGCAUGAGUAGCAAUACUUGAUGGCGUCCGGCAAACGGGUGAGGAACACGUACACAACCUUCCUUCAAGCGGGGAAUAGCCCAGAGAAAUUUGGAUUAAUACCCCAUAAAUAUAUUUGAUAAGGCAUCUUAUUAAAUAUUAAAGCUUCGGCACUUGAUGAUGGGUGUGCGGCUGAUUAGAUAGUUGGCGGGGUAACGGGCCCACCAAGUCUACGAUCAGUAGCUGAUGUGAGAGCAUGAUCAGCCACACGGGCACUGAGACACGGGCCCGACUCCUACGGGAGGCAGCAGUAAGGAAUAUUGGACAAUGGACGAAAGUACUGAUCCAGCCAUGCCGCGUGAAGGAUUAAGGUCCUCUGGAUUGUAACUUCUUUAUA
rnacentral:rRNA from 1 species